rnacentral:pre_miRNA from 1 species
AUAAAACGUAGCCAUGGGUUUUCGUGUCCAACUUCAUGAUUAGUAUUUUUAUUUUUCUUAGAUGAUAAAAUAUGAAUAGUACUUUAUGCGUGACUUAUAUAUUUUUUUUUAAAAAAUAAAACGGACAAUUAAAAUUGGACAUAAAAACUCAUCGUUGCGUUUAAA